rnacentral:rRNA from 1 species
CCCUUAGAUGUUCUGGGCUGCACGCGUGCUACAAUGGCGUUUCCAGCAAGUCUGCGAACCCGAGAGGGCCAGCGGAUCUUCGAAUUGGCGUCGUGAUCGGGACAGUCGAUUGCAAUUAUUUGACUCAAACGAGGAAUUCCUUGUAAUCGCGAUUCAUCAUAUCGCGCUGAAUACGUCCCUGCCCUUUGCACACACCGCCCGUCGCUCCUACCGAUUGAGCGAUCCGGUAAAUGUUUUGGAUUGGUGCCGGGGCGGCUAGCUGCCGGUCGCUACGAAAUUUUGUGAACCUUAUCGCUUAGAGGAAGGAAAAGUCGUAACA